UAAUUUUUCCUUUAUUUUAUAUUUAAUUGAGGUUUUAACCAAGUAAUUCAACCCCAUUAACCAAGAGGUUAAAGCUUCGUCCUCCCGCGAAUACGAAACCAUUCCCUUUGGUAUCUCGAAAUUCCCCAUGCCUCCUUCCAAGUUUAGUGCCACUGCUCCUCUUCUAAGCCAAAAAAAACUCAACUGAAAUCUCAUCUCUGCGAGUUCCUCAGCAUUCCUCUCGUCCCUCCCCCCCGCCGAUCUUCACAUCCCCAUUUCCAGGUUCCUCAUGUCUCUCUCAUGAUUUUGUGAAAAAAACAAAUUUAAAGCUAUUUCAGGGACGGUUUCCAUUUCUUCAAGUUUUCGAGCUGAGGUUAUAAUGUAGUGUGAGUAAAUUAGAUUCAAUUUUUGAGUUUUUAAGACUAGUUUCUACCUUCUGCUUUCGGUUCUUUUUUAGUAUACUCUUUUUCUCCUACUGAUGAGUAAAUAUCACUGCUGUUAUUGCUUGUUUUGAAACUUGCCUUUGAUCAUGUAAUCUGUUUUCUUCAUGUUAUUGUAUCACCACUUUGAUAAGUUAUAUUCUACUUCGUUUUUAUUGUUGUCUUAUCUACUGCUCUCUUUUAGCUAUAUUGCCUUGAUGUAAAUCUUUAUUCACGUGUUAUAUUGUCUUAUCAGAUUAAUUAAAUUAAGAUUCUUUUGCUAAUAAGGGAUCGGUUCGCUUUAUUCCUGUUCCCACUACCUUAAUAUUUGUUGUAUCAUACUGCUUUAAGAUGCGACAAUUGAGGAGAUUUAUUUAUAUCUCCUAUCUUAGUGAAUGAGGAUCAAGUGGAGAGGGACAAGUUGGUUGAGAGUGAUCGGGAAGAUGGUGAUAUUCCAAUUUUAAUGUUGAACGAUGUUGUGGGACAACUUUUAAGCCUUUAAGAUUAAUGGUUAGUGGAAGAUGGUUGUUGUAUUGUACUUCAGAAAGGAAAGGGAGAAUGUGAUUGCAUUUGCACUGCAGAAAUUAACAAAUGCCUAUUGGAGAAAUAAAAAUGCUUUAUUAACUUAGUGGUUAGUUUGUUUGUACAGAUGAGUUUCUGUGUAUUUGGAUUACUGAAAAAUAAAGAAAGUAUCACUCAAGGAUGAGAGGUGCAGACAGAUAGAAGAAGAGAGAAGUUUAGUUAGACUCAAACUCUCUACAUAACUCAAACUAGGUGGAAGCAAUCCUGCAAUCAAAUGAAUGUUUGCUGUAAAUUAUGGGCAUGCCCCUCAAACACUGAAAUAACGCAUCCUUCAAAGAAGAUUUUCUCAACUAAAGUUUUGUUUCCAAUCAACUUUGUUUAGCCUCACAUUCAUUCUAGAUUUUGUUUGUUUACUAAAAGGUGGAAUUCAGAAGUAUUUGCUUGCUUGUGUAUUUCUUUUUGAGAUGGGAUGGUUGAUGUGCUUUAAAGAUCUUUGGAUCAGAAAGGACAAGAUAUGGGAGGAAAACUUAAAAGCCAUAUUACAUGGUAAAGACGGAGUCGGGAUGGCAGAGAUUAACAAAAUUCUCUCUCCCCAAUUCAAUGAUCCAAGUCUAAAAAAUAAGGAAACGGAAAGUCAGAAAGAUAACAGGCAUGGCAACAGGUGAGAAAAAAGUUGAUAAGCUCUGACCGUUGACCAUUUUUUGGUAACAUCCUUUUAUUCUUCUAUACCUCUUCAAAAACCUCGUGCUUUUCAUAUUUUGAUCUUGCAUGUUAGUUUGUUCAAUAUCAAUGUCGCUGCGGCAAAAGUGCGGCUUUUCGUUCUUCUUGACAUCUAUAUUUCAAGUGCGUUUGAAGGUUGUUCUGACCUGAAAAUUAAGCGCACUUUUGCUGAAUCAUUAAAAAUAGAUUAUCGUUCCUUUACUUUUACUUUAUGGCAUCUACUGAUCUGACUUGAAAUUUAGCAUUUGCACUCGUGAUAUCCAUAAUCUAUCUGGAUUCUCUCUGGUGUCUUUUAGGCCAUUUACAUAUCUACUUAUUUUUCUUUUAAUUGGACAAUGUAGGUUUAUUUUUAAUGCAACUUUUCUUAGAAAAAAAAAAAAAGUGGAAUGAAGAACCCAUUAAGACUGGGCGGUCUAAAUUUAACCCGAGAUACUACUACAGAGAAUCCAGGCCCCGUGUUUCAUUAUAUUUCUAUGGUCCCACUGUUCUAAAGCUUCUGCUUUUAGGUUCUUUUCUUUUCCCUCUGAAAUGACUUUUGAGGGUAUUGAAUUAAAUUUUUUGGUAUGGACAAGUGUUAAAUAUAUACACAGAAAGUUCUCUAGGCGAUGUUUGGCUUAGGAUUUAAUACGUCUUGGGUUAAGAAAUUUGGAUUUGUAUAACAUAUGUUUGGGUUGUAAGAAGGAGUAAGUUAUAGAAACUUGGAUUCGUGUCACACGUGUUUGGUUCAUGAGUUUCUAAUUUGGAAAGAGAUUUUAGAGACUUCUUAGUUGGAAAUCACUCAUCUUUUGUGACAAUGUAGAUGGGAAUUUUUUAAUAUUGGUUAUCACUAAAUAAGGUGAAAGCUGUUCUAAACUGCCCUCAACCUAGAACAAAUGACUUUAUUUUGAUCUAUUGAAAAGAGAAGAAACAGAUAUAGGAUGUAUCAACUAACAACAACCAAUUGUUGUAUAGGGAUUUGCUUGGAGAAAUUUUUACCGCAAAAGCACAGUUGCUAGCAAUUAUUUUAAAAGCUAGAUAGAUAAAUGAACAACUCCACUUCUUUGUUCUUUCAAAUACUAGGAGAUUAGGCUGUCCUGAAUAAUUAAUUCUCUCACAUCUUUGUUACACGAGUAGGCUCAUUCAAGCUUGAAUGAAUAAUCCCAAAUGUUGAGCACUUUAAAGUUAAACUCUUUCAAGGUCCAGUAUAGUUUUUUCAUCUGGAGUUAUUGUUGAAAUUGAAACUUAAUCUACAGUAUAUUGUAGGCAUCAAUUUGGAGGAAACUUUCUCUUAUCAAUUCCUUGUUCCAACAUUCCCGAUCCAUCGUAAAAAAAAUGUUACAUUACUCUCCCUUUAAGUUUCCUGAACCUUGAUGGAUUCUUAAGAGUCAUCUGCUGUAUUUGUGUCAGCAUGUCGUUGCGAAUCCUUUCUAGAACACUCUCCAAACUUGCUCCUUGAUAAAAUUAAAUACUUAGGAUUCAUUUCAUCAUGUGAUUUGGGAUGGGAGCCUUAGGUAUUACCCACUUUGACUUCGUGGAAGAGCUAACAACAUAACUGAUUGAAUACAUCUCAUAGCCAAGUCAAUUCAAUCAGAACACGAAUUCAUUUCGAUCAUGAUGCUCUAUCUCAACACAUUCCAUUAUGAUCGGUACAACUUGAUAGCAAUUACUAUUUAUGUCAGACUGUUUGUUGUUUUCAACUUUUUUUUUUUUUUUUGGUUAUGUUGAAUAAUUAAAUAUUUUCCUCCGUAAGAAAAAUGGAAAAUUACUUUUGGGCUUUUAUCCCAAGCUCCUAAUGGACACGGUGCCAAUUUUCUCCAGUGGAACAAACGCGGUCCACCCUAAGCAAGAAAGGAUUUCUUCAAGGGUAUUUCCAUUUUCAAAUAUAUCGUGAAUAUAACAAUACUCGGAUGUCAAAUAUAAGGGGAAAUGAAGGAUGAGCUUGCCCAAGUCCACCCUAAACCUUAAACCCAAAGGCCAACGAUACAGUAUUUCAUGUACUUGAGUCAUGCUCAUGCUUACUAUUAAUGUUUGAAUUCAUACAUUAAUAGAGUGAUAUUACAAUUGUGAGAGGUUGAUUGAAAACAACGAACUACAUAAGGGGACAAAACUAAGGAAUUUAUCCAUUUGAAUUUUAACUGUGCUCCCGUGUUCAUAAAAUAUAAAAUUGAGACGAGGACGAGGAAGACAUCUUGGGUUUUUGACCCUGGGCUGCCCAAUUCCUCCUUAUGUGCAUAAACGCCCAAAAGUCUAAUCCAACCAACGAACUCCUUUAUUAGUAUUGAGUUCCAUUGCUGGUAGAUAUAAUGAAAUGUUAAUUAAAAUAAUGAUGUGAAAAACUGCUCAUAUUCAACAAAUAUCAACAAAUUGGAAUAAUACACAAUUCUUCCUUAUUGGUUCUCUUAACCAUAGUUUGUUUGUUAGUAUAUUUGUUGCACUACACUUACUAUUUUGACCUUUGUUUGUUUGUUAUGAGUCAAUAUCUUGUAUUUAAAUUAUGAAGAGUGAAAUAAGAAAAAAUAACUCACUCCCAUUUACCCAACACCCUGAUCCUAUAUUCAAAUUCUUGAGAUAUUAUUUUCUACAUGUUUUAAAUAUAAAAGUGAAGAGUGUUGAAUUUAAUUAAUAUUAAAUUUAUCUUCACGUAUCAAUCUUAAGCUUUUAGGUCAAUUCAUGAUUUAACACAUCAGACAACUUGUGUGCUAACAAUUUCUAGUGUUGCAUAUUUGCGUCUAAACAUGAUUGUUGAAAUCGCUGUCAAUGAUGGUUGACGAUCGAGAAAGCAGCCACCAGUAAAGCUAGAAAGCAAAGGAAGAACAAGAUUUAUAUCAUGCAACUAGGAAAAUUUUAUAGAUACAACUUGUGAUUUUACCGGUACUUUUAAAUUUUCAAUUGUACCCCACCUUCUCUUAAAAAAAAAGUCACAAGGGUAAAUAAUGAAUAGCUUUAUCUUCAAAAGAAAAAAAAAGAUUAUUUAUUAAAAUAAAAAUAAGUUGAUUUUGAUUAAA